rnacentral:rRNA from 1 species
UAUAUAUAUAUAUAUAUAUCUUUAUUAUUAAUAUUAACUAAAAAAAAUAUUUUAAAUAAUUUAUAUUAUUAAGUAUUAUCCUAUAAAAAUAUAUUAAUUAUAUACUAUUAGUAUUGUAAAAGAAAUAAAAAUAUUAUUAUAAAAUAAUUAAUAAUAUUUAUUACCUUUUGUAUCAGGGUUUAUUAAAUUUAAUAAAUAUAUUAAUUUAUUUCUCGAAAUAAGUUGAUCUAAAUAAUUAUAGUAAUUAAUGUAAAAUUAUUAUUAUUAAUAAUUAUUUAGUAGUGAUAAGUCAUUCAUAACUUAUAUAUCUAGUUAUUUUAUAAAUAAAUUUAAUUUAAUUAAAAUUAAUUUAUAUAUUUUUAAUUUUAAAUAUAUAUAGCAAUCUUAAUAAAAUUAUUAGGGAUUAACUUAAUAAUUAUUUUAAUAUAAAUAUAAUAUAAUAAUUAUAAUAUUAAUAAAAAUAAUAAUUUUUAUUUAUAAAUAAUUUUUAAUAAUUAAUAUUUAUAUAAUAUAAUUUAAUAUAUUUAUUUAAUUAAUUAUAAAAUUAUUAAUUUUAAUAAGAUAGAUUAAUUAAUAAUGAUAAAAUUAGUAAAAUUAACUUUAAUAUUGUAAUAAUUAAUAAAGAUUAUUUUAAGGAAUUAGGCAAAAAUUUUUAUUCACCUGUUUAGUAAAAACAUGGUUUAUUGAAUUUAAUAAUAAAUCAAUUCUGCUCAAUGAAUUUAUUUAAAUAGCUGCAGUAUUUUGACUGUACAAAGGUAGCAUAAUCAAUUGUCUUUUUAAUAAAGUCUAGAAUGAAAGAAAUAAUGAAAUAAAAACUGUCUCAAAAUAAAUAAAUUUUAAAUUUUAUUGUAAGUAAAAAUUCUUAUAUAUUUAUAAUAGACGAGAAGACCCUAUAGAAUUUUAUUAUUAAACUUAUUUAAAUUAUUUAAUUAAUAUAAAUUAAAUUAGUUUAAUAAUUAUAUUGGGGGGAUAAUAAAAUUUAAAAAAUUUUUAUAUAAUAAUUUUACUAAUAUGCUAGAAUAAUUUAACCAAUACUAUUGAAACUAAAUAAAUUACCUUAGGGAUAACAGCGUUAAAUUUUUAAAGAGUUCAUAUUGAUAAAAAUUUUUGCGACCUCGAUGUUGAAUUAAAAUUAAUAGUUAUUGUAGAUAAUAACUGUAUUUAGUCUGUUCGACUAUUAAAAUUUUACAUGAUUUGAGUUUAGAUCGGUGUAAGCCAGAUCGGUUUCUAUCUUUAUAUAUCCAUAAUAUUAUUGUACGAAAGGACUUAAUAUUAAUAAUAAUUAUACAAAAUUGAAUAAAAUUAAUA